rnacentral:rRNA from 1 species
AAUAAAUACCCCGGUAGUCCACGCCGUAAACGUUGGGCGCUAGGUGUGGGGCUCUUUCCACGAGUUCCGUGCCGCAGCAAACGCAUUAAGCGCCCCGCCUGGGGAGUACGGCCGCAAGGCUAAAACUCAAAGGAAUUGACGGGGGCCCGCACAAGCGGCGGAGCAUGCGGAUUAAUUCGAUGCAACGCGAAGAACCUUACCAAGGCUUGACAUGGGCGGUAAUCCGGCAGAGAUGUCGGGUCCGUAAGGGCCGUUCACAGGUGGUGCAUGGUUGUCGUCAGCUCGUGUCGUGAGAUGUUGGGUUAAGUCCCGCAACGAGCGCAACCCUCGUUCCAUGUUGCCAGCACUUCGGGUGGGGACUCAUGGGAGACUGCCGGGGUCAACUCGGAGGAAGGUGGGGAUGACGUCAAAUCAUCAUGCCCCUUAUGUCUUGGGCUUCACGCAUGCUACAAUGGCCAGUCAAAGGGCUGCGAGACCGUGAGGUGGAGCGAAUCCCAAAAAGCUGGUCUCAGUUCGGAUCGGGGUCUGCAACUCGACCCCGGU